rnacentral:rRNA from 1 species
AACGAACGCUGGCGGCAGGCCUAACACAUGCAAGUCGAGCGAGGACUUCGGUCCUAGCGGCGGACGGGUGAGUAACGCGUGGGAACGUGCCCUUUGCUUCGGAAUAGCCCUGGGAAACUGGGAGUAAUACCGGAUGAGCCCUUUGGGGGAAAGAUUUAUCGGCGAAGGAUCGGCCCGCGUUGGAUUAGGUAGUUGGUGGGGUAAUGGCCUACCAAGCCGACGAUCCAUAGCUGGUUUGAGAGGAUGAUCAGCCACACUGGGACUGAGACACGGCCCAGACUCCUACGGGAGGCAGCAGUGGGGACUCUUAGACAAUGGGGGAAACCCUGAUCUAGCCAUGCCGCGUGAGCGAUGAAGGCCUUAGGGUUGUAAAGCUCUUUCAGCUGGGAAGAUAAUGACGGUACCAGCAGAAGAAGCCCCGGCUAACUCCGUG